AGCUUUGGGUGGUGGCAGUAUCAUAGCCAAUGAGGUUUUUCCAAGGCACAAUUAUUGCUAAUUAAAAUUCAGUAUGCACUAGACUUACCCAAGGUAUGGGUGAUAGUAAAGUCACUGUUUCUUAAUCUUGGAAAAAGUUAUUGUUCU
rnacentral:snRNA from 1 species